rfam:Amborella trichopoda AMTR_V1.0_contig_26151, whole genome shotgun sequence.
UUAUGGGAAAGGGAGCUCCAUUCGGUCCAAUCUUGGGAGCGAAGAGGCGGUUAAAGCUGCCACCCCAUGCAUCCGACUAGCCUUAUAACAUCAUGAUCGUCGUCAUCGUGAUCGUCGUCAAGGUCAUCACCAUGUAGUCGUGGUCAUCAAUGUCGCAUCCUCAACAUGAUCUCCAUUAUGAACAUGAAGAGAUAGAGAUAAGCUAGCCAGAGGCAUGGUAUGGGAGCUAUUUCCUCCGCUUUCUCCAUCCACGGAUUGGACUGAAGGGAGCUCCCCUACAAUUUUCU